AUGAAAUUUGGAAAGAAAAUCACACAGAAGAAUGUACUGCAAAUCAUGAUGGAUCAGCUGAGAAGUUGACGCCAUAAAAGAAAUGUUCAAUCGUCAAAUGUUGGAAGUCAAGCAUGCUUAUUACAUUGGUGAUGGAGAUUCUAAAACUUUUAUAGCUCUAUUAGACAAUGAUCCUUAUGAUGAUGAUUUACAAAUGAAGGAAAAAGAAUGCGUAGGAUAUGUGGAGAAAUUAACAAUCAGAAGACAUCCAGAUUCUGUUAAUGACAUGUACAAUGCUGUGUGGCUAUAUUUUAUCACGACAUAUUAGAUCUCGACAGAGAUGAAAAUCCAUAGCAUGUAUUGCCCAGUGGGAUCAAAUAGUUGUAAAUGGCGCCGAAAGUAAUAACACUUCAUGAAUUCGAUCAUGAACUAUUUCAUGAAGAUGUUCAGCAAGCCAUAAAGCCAAUUUUCGAAGAUUUGUUAUCACGAGAAUUGUUAUAGAAAGAUAUUUGGGUGGUGAAACACAAAAUAAUAAUGAGAGUUAUAACUCUACAGUCUGGCAAUUCGCGCCUAAGCAUCUUCAUUGUGGAGCAAAAAUGAUUGAAAAAUCGCGGCUUAUUUAGCAGCCGGAAUUUUUAAUGAAGGCUUUUAUGCUAUUAUUAAAAUUAUGACAAUGAUAGAAAUUAUAGGAGAAAACGCCAAAAUAUUUUGUAACGCGCGAUAUCAACGCGACGGACUCUUGAGACUACGAAAGAAGCUCGAAUAAAAUGAAGAAACGACCAGACGGUUCUAAAUUACUUCUAUGAAGAUGAGGAAGAACUAUUAAAAGGCCCCUGGGAUAGCAGAGUAGCAAAAAUAAAAUAUUAAUAUCGUGCACAUUCAGUGGACGACGAACUUUGCGGGACGUCA